AGCUGCUGCUCGAGGCUGAGCCUGGAUUCCAGGAGGUUUAACUGUCUAAAAUGUGGCCGCACAGGUGAAGUGAAAGAUGCAAGAUACAGAUACAGAUUGUCCCUCAAAGUUGCUGACACGAAUGAUUUGUUUGACAUCACUGUGUUUGGAAGCUGCUUAGAUCCGUUCUUUGGGGUCACAGCAGACAAUUUGCAGAGGUAUAUUCAAGACUUGAAUCAGCUGUCAGGAGAAACAAACAGAGAUACAUCUCCAGGAGUGUUAGUUCAAGCAGUUGAAACCUGUUUCAUUGGAAAAAGAUUUAUAUUUGGAGUGAAGGCUUGUGUGAGUCA